rnacentral:rRNA from 1 species
GGCGAACGGGUGAGUAACGCGUGGGAAUCUGCCCUGGAGUGGGGAACAACAGUUGGAAACGACUGCUAAUACCGCAUACGCCCUGAGGGGGAAAGGCUUCGGCCGCUCUUGGAUGAUCCCGCGUCUGAUUAGCUUGUUGGUGGGGUAACGGCCUACCAAGGCGACGAUCAGUAGCUGGUCUGAGAGGAUGAUCAGCCACACUGGAACUGAGACACGGUCCAGACUCC